rnacentral:rRNA from 1 species
CGGGGACCGCAAGGCCUGGCGCUAACAGAUGAGCCCAAGUCGGAUUAGCUAGUUGGUAGGGUAAUGUCCUACCAAGGCGACGAUCCGUAACUGGUCUGAGAGGACGACCAGUCACACCGGAACUGAGACACGGUCCGGACUCCUACGGGAGGCAGCAGUGGGGAAUAUUGGACAAUGGGGGAAACCCUGAUCCAGCGACGCCGCGUGGGUGAAGAAGGCCUGCGGGUUGUAAAGCCCUUUCGGUUGGGAAGAAAAGUUGCGACCUAACACGUCGCGACCUUGACGUAACCAACUAAAGAAGCACCGGCUAACUCUGUGCCAGCAGCCGCGGUAAUACAGAGGGUGCGAGCGUUAAUCGGAAUUACUGGGCGUAAAGCGCGCGUAGGCGGCUUUUCAAGUCGAUUGUGAAAUCCCCGGGCUUAACCUGGGAACUGCAGUCGAGACUGUCUAGCUAGAGUAUGGGAGAGGGAAGUGGAAUUUCAGGUGUAGCGGUGAAAUGCGUAGAUAUCUGAAGGAACAUCAGUGGCGAAAGCGACUUCCUGGACCAAUACUGACGCUCAUGUGCGAAAGCGUGUGGAGCAAACAGGAUUAGAUACCCUGGUAGUCCACGCCAUAAACGAUGAGAACUGGAUGUCGGAGGGGUCUGCCCUUCGGUGUCGUAGCUAACGCGUUAAGUUCUCCGCCUGGGGAGUACGGCCGCAAGGUUGAAACACAAAGGAAUUGACGGGGACCCGCACAAGCGGUGGAGCAUGUGGUUUAAUUCGAUGCAACGCGAAGAACCUUACCUGGUCUUGACAUCCUAGGAACCUCGCAGAGAUGUGGGGGUGCCUUCGGGAACCUGGAGACAGGUGCUGCAUGGCUGUCGUCAGCUCGUGUCGUGAGAUGUUGGGUUAAGUCCCGCAACGAGCGCAACCCUUGCCCUUAGUUGCCAGCAUUAAGUUGGGAACUCUAAGGGGACCGCCGGUGACAAACCGGAGGAAGGUGGGGAUGACGUCAAGUCAUCAUGGCCCUUAUGACCAGGGCUACACACGUGCUACAAUGGCCAGUACAAAGGGUUGCCAACCCGCGAGGGGGGAGCCAAUCCUAUAAAGCUGGUCGUAGUCCGGAUCGCAGUCUGCAACUCGGCUGCGUGAAGUCGGAAUCGCUAGUAAUCGUGAAUCAGCGAUGUCACGGUGAAUACGUUCCCGGGUCUUGUACACACCGCCCGUCACACCAUGGGAGUUGAUUGCACCAGAAGUAGGUAGCCUAACCGCAAGGAGGGCGCUUACCACGGUGUGGUCAAUGACUGGGGUGAAGUCGUAACAAGGUAGCCGUACGGGAACGUGCGGCUG